UACGUAGGGACCAAGCGUUGUCCGGAUUUAUUGGGCGUAAAGAGCUCGUAGGCGGCUUAGUAAGUCGGGUGUGAAAACCCCAGGCUCAACCUGGGGACGCCACCCGAUACUGCUAUAGCUAGAGUCCAGUAGGGGAGUGUGGAAUUCCCAGUGUAGCGGUGAAAUGCGCAGAUAUUGGGAGGAACACCAGCGGCGAAGGCGGCACUCUGGGCUGGUACUGACGCUGAGGAGCGAAAGCGUGGGUAGCGAACAGG
rnacentral:rRNA from 1 species